GGGGGUAGCAUAAUAUGGCUAAUGCGCUUCUACCUAGUAGUUGAGAUGCGGGUUCGAUUCCCGCUCCCCCCU
rnacentral:tRNA from 1 species